ensembl:antisense 4930448D08Rik RIKEN cDNA 4930448D08 gene
AGAGGAAAACCACCCACAUAAACACAUGGCUGUCCAAACUAUUAUCCCUGUUUCUGUAAGAGAAAAGAUAUGAAAGGAAUGAAGAUACUGGCCCCAUCCCUACAGUAGACAUAGAUUUGAACCUUUUGACUUGACUAUGGAUAAUUCAUUCUGCUUAUCCAGUUGAUGAUAUAAGAAGAUAGUGCUCAGCUAUGCUGAUGUAUUUCUUCUUACUGCAGUAAAGAGACACCCAAUUUUCUUGAUGGUUGGCUGUAAGCAUUAGCCCAUGGAAGGUGGUCAGGAAGAUAGCUUGCUGAUAACAACAGUAUUUCCUGAGAGGAGUAGGUCUUUCUUCUGUUAGACUACAACAUCCUGAAAGUUCAAUGUGGACAAAUAUAUCUGCCAAGAAUCUGCUUACUUUAUACUCUCUAAUUAUGACUUUAUGCCAUACUGAAGAAUUUCUUUGUAGUACAUCUUGGACACAUUUGUAAGGAGAUUGAGACCUGAUUUUUCUGGUUUGGGCAUUCAGCAAGAUAACCCAUCUUUCACUGGUGCUAACCUAGGCUCCUUUUACACUUUUGAACAUUGGGUUACAAGAAAUUUGGGACUUUUAGAUUAUCUUAUUCAACCAACUUAAUGAUCUCCAUGAUUUCCACUAGAAUAAUUUAUUCUAAAGACACUGUUGUAUCUUGCGUUGGUUCUGGUAUUCUAAGAUUUAAUGUGAAACACAGUUUGACAUUUUACAGGUGAGAAAGCCACUUGUGAUGUAUGGCUUGCUUGAGAAAUAUCUUUAGAUUUCCCGAAAACAAACAAAAAACCAAAACAAUGAGAUGUUUCUGAGGUCAAAAACAUUCAAAUUCUUCAAGUUCAAGUGUGACUUUAUAGCUCUGUCACUUACUUCUUGUGUGUGGCUCACUUUCUAUAUGGCUUUUGGUUUUAUUAUUUUUUCAGAAGCAAACAUUACUAAACAAUGAAAGAUCACAAUGGGGAACACAGUGUGUUGAUAUGCAAGUGGUAUCUGCUAAGGAAAUAGAGACAGAGACCACCCAAGCCACUCAGAAUGGACUCAGAUGGUCUGAAUGCCUGAUAGCCCUACUUUCCAAGUUACCAAGAUGUCUGUAAGUUGCACAGUGUGUUCCUGGUUUCAUGAGCUGGGCUGGCCUGCGGUGGGCUGUGGUAAUAGUGGUCUGUGAGACAUAUACACUCCUCUAAGUAGCCCCUCACUCAUACUCCUGUUAACUCCAAUAAAAUUCAUUUGUUCAUCAAGG